rnacentral:rRNA from 1 species
CAGCACCUCAAGUGGUCAGGAUGAUUAUUGGGCCUAAAGCAUCCGUAGCCGGCGCUGUAAGUUUUCGGUUAAAUCUGUACGCUCAACGUACAGGCUGCCGGGAAUACUGCAGCGCUAGGGAGUGGGAGAGGUAGACGGUACUCGGUAGGAAGGGGUAAAAUCCUUUGAUCUAUUGAUGACCACCUGUGGCGAAGGCGGUCUACCAGAACACGUCCGACGGUGAGGGAUGAAAGCUGGGGGAGCAAACCGGAUUAGAUACCGUGUAGUCC